rnacentral:lncRNA from 1 species
ACUGCCCCACUUCUAAUUCUCUCUUAGGUCUCUUCUUGUUCAACGGGUAAGGUGGUUUGAUGUAAUCCGAUAAAGGAGGUUUUGGUUCAUUUAUGAUCUGAUUCUUUAUUCUCCUAAAAGGUGAAUAUUUAUCAAUAAACUUAUCAAGUGUCUCUCCUUCCUCAAAAUUCUCCCUAGAAACUUCUUCGCUAGUUGGUGUGGAUUUCAG